GCUAGUUGGUGAGGUAAAGGCCCACCAAGGCGAUGAUGGGUAGCCGGCCUGAGAGGGUGUACGGCCACACUGGGACUGAGAUACGGCCCAGACUCCUACGGGAGGCAGCAGCUAAGAAUAUUCCGCAAUGGACGAAAGUCUGACGGAGCGACGCCGCGUGGAUGAAGAAGGCCGAAAGGUUGUAAAGUUCUUUUGCUAGGGGAGAAUAAGUGAGGGAGGGAAUGCCCUCAUGAUGACAAGGACUAGCGAAUAAGCCCCGGCCAACUACGUGCCAGCAGCCGCGGUAACACGUAGGGGGCGAGCGUUGUUCGGAAUUACUGGGCGUAAAGGGCAUGUAGGCGGCUUGGUAAGCCUGGCGUGAAAGACUGCAGCUUAACUGUAGGGAUGCGUUGGGAACUGCUUAGCUUGAGUUACGGAGAGGGAGCUGGAAUUCCUGGUGUAGGGGUGAAAUCUGUAGAUAUCAGGAAGAACACCGAUGGCGAAGGCAAGCUUCUGGUCGAUAACUGACGCUGAGGUGCGAAAGUGUGGGGAUCAAACAGGAUUAGAUACCCUGGUAGUCCACACUGUAAACGAUGUGCACGAGGUGCUGGGGCGGUAGUUUCAGUG
rnacentral:rRNA from 1 species